rnacentral:rRNA from 1 species
UACGUAGGGCGCAAGCGUUAUCCGGAAUUAUUGGGCGUAAAGAGCUCGUAGGCGGUUUGGCGCGUCUGGCGUGAAAGUCCGGGGCUCAACUCCGGAUCUGCGGUGGGUACGGGCAGACUAGAGUGAUGUAGGGGAGACUGGAAUUCCUGGUGUAGCGGUGAAAUGCGCAGAUAUCAGGAGGAACACCGAUGGCGAAGGCAGGUCUCUGGGCAUUAACUGACGCUGAGGAGCGAAAGCAUGGGGAGCGAACAGG